AAGCAUCCGCAACUACUAAAGAUCAUUAAGGUAAAACCCAACCAUAGCAUUAAAGCAUCAAGUCCCCUUUAUCCCAUACGCAACAAACCCCUUACUUGGGUUUAAGCUUCUUUCACUCUAGCAACCCACUAUAAGCGAAUCAUGAACGUAUUGCAACACCCUACAGCGGGAAUCCCUCACGUGUGCGCGGCACGGAAGGCACCAUAGGACAGCACCAAAAUAAAACAUACAACUCAAACCAAUCAAUAGCAUCAAUCAACCCAAAGGACAAAAGAAAUCUACUCAAAACAUCAUAGGAUGGCAACACAUCAUUGGAUCAUAAUAUGUGGCAUAAAGCACCAUGUUCAAGUAGGGGAUUACAGCGGGGUGCGGGAGAGUGGACCGCGUAAAGGAGAUGAGGAUGGUGAUGUUGAUGAAGACGAUCACCGCGGCGAUGGUUCCCCUGAUGGCACUCUAGCAGCACAAAGAGAGAGGGGGAGAGGUUCUCCCCUUUGUGCUUCCUCCUCCAUGGCCUCCCCCUUAGAUGGCGAAAGGUUCCCCCUCUGAUCCUUGGCCUCCAUGACGAUGGUAACCCCUCCGACUUCCUCCUACAUGGCCUCCGGUGAUGUUGGCCCUCUCCUACCAUGCAUGAAAAAUGGAAAUAAUACUAGCAAGUAGCACAUACUAACAAGGUGCAUAAGAACAUAGCAUGAAAAUAAGCAUGUACCCAUAAGCAUAACCGAAACGGUGCUAGCAGUAUUAAACGAGCAGUCAUUUAUUAAAUAUUAAAGUGAAAACCAUGGCUACUGCAAAUCCAUCAUGCAAGUGGUUGUCGUGGCUUGCCUGGGGAUGAAGAAUACUCUGAGAAGAAGUGCGGUGAAGUCACGGGACGAUUCGCGGGAACGCUUCUCUCUCGGAGGGGGCUAGAUAAGGGAAAGGGCAUAAAGGUAGAGCUCGACGAUACGAACAAGUAGGCGUUGGAUUCACCUCAAACGGAGUUACGGUUGCGGAGAUACGAGUGUUUGAAGCAAAGGGACCAAUCUGUAAAAAAAAAUCGCAGACAGGCCCUUGGAGGUUAAAACAGAAAGCGCCUUCAGCCGCAUAUGUUUUCUGCAAAAGAAAGCGCAUUUUAAGCCGCAGUUGAUUCAAAGUACGCUUUCAUCAAACGUAUUCUGAAAAUAUGCCUCCACUUAAUGACGUGUCCCGGGCUGGGUUAACGGCCAGAGGCCGACAUGCGGUCCCCGCGGGCAGAGGGGGGGCAGGCGCGUCGUCUCCUUCCUCCUCUCCCUGCCCCCGAUGGAAACACAGGAGGGAGCACGGGAGGGCGUAGCCGGCGACGGGCCGGGCGGCUCCGGCCACCUCAGGCCGGGGCGAGGCCGCCGGAGGGACCGGGGAACAGCGCCGCAUCCACUUGGCCUGGUCGUGGGCGCCGGGGAGGGGCGGAGCACGAGGUGGCCGCGGUGGCAGAGAGCAACGGCGGCGGCCAAAAGGUUGGGGACGCGCGGCCACAGGAGUCCCGGCGACGAACGGAUGGGUUGGGGAGGAUCGCCGUAGCACGGGGAAGCUCGUGGAGAGGUCAGGGAGUGGAGGAGGGGAUCGGCUAGCUCGUAUUUAAGCCGAGCUUCGCGACGGCCAUUGUGGCGGAGGGAUGAGGGGAGAGGCUCUGGCGAUGGAUUGAGGGGUCGGGGAGGUGUAGAGGAGGAUGGAGAAGAGCCUGGAGUGGUCUAGGGAGCUCGGGGAUGGCUUAAAUAGGCAGGGCGACGCGGGUGGCCGAGCACGGCCGC
rnacentral:lncRNA from 1 species